rnacentral:lncRNA from 1 species
CACAGGCCUUGAUCACUAUUUGGCUGUGAGAGUUGAAGAAUUCAUAAAGGACUCCCAGGUUUCAGUCUAGGAGGACAUUCUCUAAAACAGGAUAUAGAAAGAGUUCCAAAAUCUCAAGUACCUGUAUACAUCCAAGAGGGGAUGCCCAAUAAGCAAUCUCUUCACACUCCAGAAAAGCUGGAUUGCAGAAAUACCAAACUGAGUAAGUAGUACAGGGAACAGUUGAAGUGAAGGAAGUAGAUACCAUUGGAUUUGCCUUUAUCCUCUUUUUCAAUGACCAG